CUGGCUCAGAUUGAACGCUGGCGGCAGGCCUAACACAUGCAAGUCGAGCGGCAGCGGGAAAGUAGCUUGCUACUUUUGCCGGCGAGCGGCGGACGGGUGAGUAAUGCCUGGGAAAUUGCCCAGUCGAGGGGGAUAACAGUUGGAAACGACUGCUAAUACCGCAUACGCCCUACGGGGGAAAGCAGGGGACCUUCGGGCCUUGCGCGAUUGGAUAUGCCCAGGUGGGAUUAGCUAGUUGGUGAGGUAAUGGCUCACCAAGGCGACGAUCCCUAGCUGGUCUGAGAGGAUGAUCAGCCACACUGGAACUGAGACACGGUCCAGACUCCUACGGGAGGCAGCAGUGGGGAAUAUUGCACAAUGGGGGAAACCCUGAUGCAGCCAUGCCGCGUGUGUGAAGAAGGCCUUCGGGUUGUAAAGCACUUUCAGCGAGGAGGAAAGGUUGAUGCCUAAUACGUAUCAACUGUGACGUUACUCGCAGAAGAAGCACCGGCUAACUCCGUGCCAGCAGCCGCG
rnacentral:rRNA from 1 species